UCUCGAUAGCGUAAAAGUUAACUCAUAUUUGUAUGGAGUUGGAACGUUUGCCUACGUUUGCCGCUAGGGGCGCUGUUCCAACUGCAUACAAAUGAGUUAAAUUUUACGCUAUCGA
rnacentral:pre_miRNA from 9 species